UUGUAUCUGGUGUGAUUAUAAAGCAAUGAGACUGAUUGUCAUGUGUAGCUUGUGGGAUCCGUCUCAGUUACUUUAUAGCCAUACCUGGUAUCUUA
rnacentral:pre_miRNA from 1 species